rnacentral:lncRNA from 1 species
CUUGGCACCCCAGCCCCAACCUCUGCCCCCAGGAAGGUGGGAAAGGUCCCCUAGGACUAAGGCAGAGCCCCCCUGUACACCUCCAGGGGUAAGUCAUGGCGUGUGGGCAUGGCAGGAGCCUCCCACUGUGCCUUUUAGUGAUCUUGUGACAUGCACCUUCCCAGAUCAGUAGCUUGAGAGGCAUGGCACCCUCCCUGACCUUGCAGGCCGCAGCCCAGGCCACCAACCAGGCCCUGAUCCGCCGUGACUGGCCCCUGAAUGGUGGGCUGAGGGCAGCUGGUGGGCGACAGGUGAGCCUGGCAGUCUCUCCCAGAAGCCUGUGUGCCCACUCGUGCCCCUUUCGUCUGAUAAUGACCCUCCCCGUGUGCAGGUCUCACCCCGGCCCACCUGGGAGGUUCCGGAACCCCGGCCAGGCCGCAGGAUGUUUGGCACCUCAGCCUGGCAGGGGGCGCAGGGAGCUGCCAGGGCUGCGCUUGGGGGCUACUCCCAGGCUUAUGGGACAGUGUGCCGCUCAGCGCUGGACCACCUGCCCUUGCUUCCUGGACCUCACGCGUGAGGGGCCCACGUGCCUCGCCGCCCUGCCACAACACAGCGCUCUUCCUCCUUCCUUUGCUGGGCUGCAUUUGAGUUCUGGGAGCUCCCCUGGGCCUCUCUGGGGGAGCAGACACGGUCUCCCCAAACCUGAUGACUGUUUUGAAUAAAGCCCUCUAUGUCAGCCCACUCUGGUGUGGGGUUCCUUCCUGGGCCACACCCCCAGCGGACAUGUCCCAGCCCUUUCUUGGAGCCCACCUUCUUCCGAGGACCGACUCUCCCUAUCUUGAAACCUCCACCGCACGUCCAGGACUGCCCCUCCUGGUACUCUGUCACCCUGCAG